GUUCUACCUGAGACUCUUUUGAGUCCGGAGAUACACUGAGCUUGAGACUGACUCUGCAGUGGCUCUGGGUCCCCUGGCAUGCCUCCACCUAGAAGGCCGCUCUGGGUGACUUGUAAGGCACUACCAACACCCAUCUGCUCCAGAGCAGAAAGACUACUUAAUAGCCAAAAGCAGCUGCCAGCUUAGGCUUCAAUGUACUCUCUCAGUUCCCUCCAGGAUGACCUGAUGUGACCACCCUUCUAGGUGAGCGUGAACAGAAGCCCAAGGAUCAGGUGCUGGCUGCAGAACAAAGAUGUUUACUUUCCACCAGGAUCAAAGGUGAACAUAAACCAAAAAUAAGUACAGCACCUUUACCAUCAGAGUCUUUCAGACAAUAAAGCAGAACAUAUUUUGAGAAUU